rnacentral:rRNA from 1 species
GAGUUUGAUCCUGGCUCAGGAUGAACGCUAGCGGCAGGCCUAACACAUGCAAGUCGAGGGGUAACAUUUGUGCUUGCACAAGAUGACGACCGGCGCACGGGUGCGCACCGCGUAUGGAACCUACCUUGUACAGGGGAAUAGCCCAGGGAAACUUGGAUUAAUGCCCCGUAGUACCGUGAUCCGGCAUCGGGAUACGGUUAAAGCCUUCGGGCGGUAUAAGAUGGCCAUGCGUCCCAUUAGCUUGUUGGUAAGGUAACGGCUACCAAGGCUACGAUGGGUAGGGGCCCUGAGAGGGGGAUCCCCCACACUGGUACUGAGACACGGACCAGACUCCUACGGGAGGCAGCAGUGAGGAAUAUUGGACAAUGGAGGAGACUCUGAUCCAGCCAUGCCGCGUGCAGGAAGAAUGCCCUAUGGGUAGUAAACUGCUUUUAUACGGGAAGAAAAAAAGCUACGUGUAGCUUACUGACGGUACCGUAAGAAUAAGGACCGGCUAACUCCGUGCCAGCAGCCGCGGUAAUACGGAGGGUCCGAGCGUUAUCCGGAAUUAUUGGGUUUAAAGGGUCCGUAGGCGGGCCGAUAAGUCAGGGGUGAAAGUUUGCAGCUCAACUGUAAAAUUGCCUUUGAUACUGUUGGUCUUGAGUUAUAGUGAAGUUGCCGGAAUAUGUAGUGUAGCGGUGAAAUGCAUAGAUAUUACAUAGAACACCGAUUGCGAAGGCAGGUGACUAACUAUAUACUGACGCUGAUGGACGAAAGCGUGGGGAGCGAACAGGAUUAGAUACCCUGGUAGUCCACGCCGUAAACGAUGGAUACUAGCUGUCCGAGGCCUUGAGUCUUGGGCGGCCAAGCGAAAGUGAUAAGUAUCCCACCUGGGGGAGUACGUUCGCAAGAAUGAAACUCCAAAGGAAUUGACG